ensembl:processed_transcript Tmem134 transmembrane protein 134
CGUGGCGGGCUCAAAUGGCGGCGGCGCUGGGCGCCUAGGCCGGCGGGGGCCAUGAGCGCCGCCCGGCCCCAGUUUAGCAUCGAUGAUGCCUUCGAGCUGACCCUGGAGGACGCGGGGCCUGAGCCCGAGUCCAGCGGGGUCGCCCGCUUCGGGCCGCUGCACUUCGAACGCCGGGCUCGGUUCGAGGUGGCUGAUGAAGACAAGCAGUCCCGGCUACGCUACCAGAACCUGGAAAAUGAUGAGGACAGAGCCCAGGCCUCUCCGGAGCCGGAUGGGGGAGUCAGCACCAGGGAUUCUGGGCACAUGUCUGUCCGCAGCUCGCAGUGGUCCUUCAGCACCAUCAGCAGCAGCACACAGCGCUCCUACAACGCCUGCUGCAGGUGUCUCCAGUGCCAUCUUCUUUGUGCCGGGCAUCCUGCUGUUAGUCCCAGGAGUCUACCAUGUGAUCUUCAUCUACUGCGCUGUCAAGGGCCGCCGGGGCUUCCAAUUCUUCUACCUGCCCUACUUUGAGAAGUGAGCUGCAACUGGCCAGUGGCUCACCAGUGAUCCAAGACCUCAGGUCACCUCCACGUGUCCACAGGGUAUUCCUCCAACCUACACCUGGUUCUGUUCCUUUCACCUGGAAGGCAGAGGCCCCUGGGACCCUCACAACCAGCAGGCCCCUUUGAAUUUGCUCAGGAAGUUUAGAGCCAGCCUGGGAAUAUUGCCUCUUACCUGAUGUGUGCCUUAACUUAUUCCUGGGUUCUGGACUCCUGGGUUGGUGUAAUUUUGUGCUAAUAAAAGGGUAAUUAUUUCC